AUAUAACAGUAUCUACCUCGCCUAAUAGUGCCCCUCUUCAGGCAAGUAGCAACUUGGAAUAAAAUCUGGCAUGCCUCAGCUUGUUACGGCAGAAGGUCACAUGUAAUUUCCUUUGCCUUCUUUUGGCUCCCUACGUGU